CUUUAUGUCACGUGACGAAAUUACAUCACGACUGUGUACUUCUUGUCCUUAGCUAGAAGAAAGAACAGCUUCAUAAAAUGGACAUAACAGGGCAAUUGAUGCUUUGGCAGGACAAAUCACUCUUUCCCAACUGGUGUGGAGGCCCUUCCUAAGUUGCUUGAUCUGACAGCUGACUCGCCCAAGGACCCACUGCAGAGUUUCCCAAAAAACGGUCCUGGGGACCCAAAAGGGUGGACUUUUUUUGUUGUUUUUGUCCUAGCACGAAUACACAGCUUAUUCAGGGCAAUUGAUCAAAUUUAUUAUUUUAAUCAGCUGUCAAGACCAACCUGUACAAACACUCCUUUACCCCUAAUGCCAUUGCCGUUUGAAUACAGGGAGAGGGAGGCAGGCAAGUCUGUCUGUCUGAACAGGAACUGGUAUCAUUGUCCUUGGUCAUCAUAACAUGGUGAUGCUGACGUUGCUGAUGAUUUUGCUCAGCAUAUUUUUGAUGUGAUUCGAGGAUGUGUACAGUGCGCUUUGCUUGUUAUGUAACUUUGUACUAAUGAUUUUAUUACAGAUCCACAAGCACUUUUUGAAUGCACAAAUACACUUUCCAAAGUUGUAAAUGUUAGU